rnacentral:rRNA from 1 species
AAUCAACGCUGGCGGCGUGCUUAACACAUGCAAGUCGAGCGGUAAGGCCCUUUCGGGGGUACGACGAGCGGCGAACGGGUGAGUAACACGUGGGUGACCUGCCCUCAGCUCUGGGGUAAGCCUGGGAAACUGGGUCUAAUACUGGAUAUGACUCCACGGUGCAUGUCGUGGGGUGGAAAGCCUUGUGCGGCUGAGGAUGGGCCCGCGGCCUAUCAGCUUGUUGGUGGGGUGANGGCCUACCAAGGCGACGACGGGUAGCCGGCCUGAGAGGGCGACCGGCCACACUGGGACUGAGACACGGCCCAGACUCCUACGGGAGGCAGCAGUGGGGAAUCUUGCGCAAUGGGCGAAAGCCUGACGCAGCGACGCCGCGUGAGGGA